GACGUGACUUCAGAGUUUGAUCCUGGCUCAGGAUGAACGCUGGCGGCGUGCCUAACACAUGCAAGUCGAACGGAGAUUUAACGCUGAUGAAGCUUCGGCAGAAUCUUGUUAAAUCUUAGUGGCGGACGGGUGAGUAACGCGUGGGCAACCUGCCUCAUACUGGGGGAUAGCAGUUGGAAACGACUGAUAAUACCGCAUAAGCGCACGGAGUCGCAUGACUCUGUGUGAAAAACUCCGGUGGUAUGAGAUGGGCCCGCGUCAGAUUAGCUAGUUGGUAAGGUAACGGCUUACCAAGGCGACGAUCUGUAGCCGGACUGAGAGGUCGGACGGCCACAUUGGGACUGAGACACGGCCCAA
rnacentral:rRNA from 1 species